rnacentral:piRNA from 1 species
GUGCACACAUGUCGCAAGAAGCCUAGGCAUC